rnacentral:lncRNA from 1 species
CUUUAUUUAUUUCCUUUUUUAAAGCUUUUUGUUUUUUUUUACUUUUUAUACAUUUUCCUAAUUAUUCAUUUAUUAUAUUUUUGUUAUAUACUAUCUUUUUCUUUUUCUUUUUUUUUACAAAAAACCUUCUUUCUUAUCUUCAUUAUAUUAUUCUUUCACUACUUAUUUUCUUUUUUACUUUGAUUUUUUUUGUUGCUCUAAUCUAAUUGGUCAUUUACAUUAUCUUCUAUUAUUUUUUUUCUUUUUGUACUCUUUUUACUUUUUAUCUUUAUUUUUUUUCAUUUUUUUUCUUAAGGUUUUUCUUCUUUUUAAUUUGUGUUUUUUAUCCACACUUCUUUCUUUUGUUUUUAUUUUUUAUUAACUUUUUUCUUUUUUUAAUUUUUUAUCAUUGAUUUUUUUAUAUCUUUAUUUCUUAUUAUUUGUUAUAUUUUUUUAUUUUUCGUUUGUAUUUUAUAAACUAAAAUUUUUUCUAUUGUCUUUUUCUUUUCUUUUUUUCAUUUUUAUUAGUUUUUGUAUUUUUUUUAAUUUUCUUACUUUUUUUAAUUGCGUUUUUGUUUAUUUUUAAUUUUUCUCUUUUUUAGUACUUAUUUUAUCUUUUUCCUUUUGCUUUACUAAUCUUUUAUUUUAUUUUUCCUUUUAUUUUUAUUGUUAAUUUUUGUUAUUUUUUAUAAAAAUUUUAUAAUGUUAUGGAUAUUUACUUUUAUUUUUUAAUCUUUUCUUCUUUUGGUUUGUUUCAUUUUUUUUGCUAUUAUCUAUUCUAUUUUUAUAAUUUUUCAUUAAUUCCUUUUUUUCUUUUAAUUUAUUUGUUCAUUUGCUUUCAUUCUUUUUGUUUUAAUUAUUUUUAUAUAUUUUGUAUUUUCAUUUUUUAUUGUUUUCUUGCUUUUUCUUAUAUCUUUUUGUUCACACUUUUUUUUAUUCCUUCUUUACAAUUUUAAAAUCUUAGACUUUUGUUUUUUUGUGAACUUCCCUUUUGAUUUUAUUUAUAUUUUGUAUUGACUUUUAUUUUACUUUUUGUCUUUGAUUUUUUAUGUCUUUUUUUCUACAUUUGUUAUUUUUUUUUUUGUUUUUCUUUGUAUAUUCUAAACGAAAAUUUUUUUCUAUUUUAUAUUCGAAAUUUUUAUUCAUUUUAUCGUUUUAUAUUUUUUUAUUCUCUAAUUUUUUAUUUUCUUACUUUUUUACUUUUUGUUUUUGUUUAUUUUUAAUU